rnacentral:tRNA from 1 species
GCGAGGAUGGCGGAAUUGGUAGACGCACCAGCUUGAGGGGCUGGCGGGGCGACCUGUGGGGGUUCGAAUCCCCCUCCUCGCA